GGCCACGCUUCCUGGAAGAGAUGCAUUGCGGAGCUCGCUAGUGGGGUGUUGGCUUUCCUUAGGAGUGUGAGUCUAGCGUUAGCUGUUUUUUCCCGGCUGGGUCCCGGGUUACCCCACCAGCCCGACCUCAACCCACUCGCGUCCACAGCACGAGCCCCAGCAGCCUUGCGCGGUGCUUGCUCUCUAGUAGCGGCUGACUAGUUUUGGGAAAAGUUUAGUAGUUUAUCAUAAUAUGAAGCAUAUAUACACCACCUAUGGCUCCACAAUUCCAAUUCCAGGUACUUAUUGAAGAUAUAUGAAAUUAAAUUCACAAAAAGACUUGUACAGGAAUGUUCGUAGUAACUUUAUUGAUAACAGAACUAAAAGCAACAGGGUACCAUCAAUAGAAUGAAUAAACAUACAGGUAUAGUCCCACAACAGAAUAGUACUCCAUAGCUAAGGAAAGAAAACUCUCUGCCACAACAUUGAUGAAUGACAAACAUGUCAGUCAGGAUCUUUGAUUUUGGAGCACAAGCCUUCUGCGUGCUACUGACUGGGUCCUGGCCUCCCUCCUUCCAUGGCACCGUCGUGAAUGGGAAUUUCCACCACUGCCUCCAUUAGGUAACUAUGGAGGAAAUAUUUCAGGGACAGAACUUCACCCCAGCCCAGGCCUUUUCUCACAUGCAAAGGCAGAUGCAAGGGCAGAAGUCGUCGUCUUGGGAUGAAGUCAUGACCAGCUUGUGAAAAAUAUCACUACACAGCGUGGCAGAAUUGCGCCACUGAAAAUGCACGUUCUCAGCGUUCAGCUGGCCUCAUGAUUUCACUUCAGUCUCUUAAUUGUCAGAAGACUGAACAUGGUGUAACUGUAGAAAGUCCAUCAUCCUUGUGUAUGCACUUGCUGAAAGAUCCACUGAAGAGCAACCUUCGUGAACAUUACCAGGGGACUUGUGCUCCUAUAAAACGCACUGUUUUCCUCACUGCGAGAUGGGUCUCUCACCGCGAUGGACUAUCUGUGAUCACAGAGCACUUCUUCCCUGGGCUUUCCCUGUCACACUGAUGGCAUGAGUAUGUAGAGCAGGGGUGGGAGUGAACAUGUUAAUCUCUUUUGAAUAAACUGAUUUUGAAG
rnacentral:lncRNA from 1 species